rnacentral:rRNA from 1 species
AUACCUCUGGUGUACCAGUUGUCGUGCCAACGGCAUAGCUGGGUAGCUAUGUAUGGACGGGAUAAGUGCUGAAAGCAUCUAAGCAUGAAGCCCCCCUCAAGAUGAGAUUUCCCAACUUCGGUUAUAAGAUCCCUCGAAGAUGACGAGGUUAAUAGGUUCGAGGUGGAAGCGUGGUGACACGUGGAGCUGACGAAUACUAAUCGAUCGAAGACUUAAUCAA